rnacentral:rRNA from 1 species
UACGUAGGGCGCAAGCGUUGUCCGGAAUUAUUGGGCGUAAAGAGCUCGUAGGUGGCUUGUCGCGUCUGCCGUGAAAACCCGAGGCUCAACCUCGGGCGUGCGGUGGGUACGGGCAGGCUAGAGUGUGGUAGGGGAGACUGGAACUCCUGGUGUAGCGGUGAAAUGCGCAGAUAUCAGGAAGAACACCGAUGGCGAAGGCAGGUCUCUGGGCCAUUACUGACGCUGAGGAGCGAAAGCGUGGGGAGCAAAUA